rnacentral:lncRNA from 1 species
ACGGGGAUAAGAAUAGGCCUAUCGUCAGCUGGUACGUGCGGUAAGAGUCCGCUGCACUAGCACAUGCACUAGCAUAACGCAGUGAAAGCCUGCUACACAUGCACUAGCAUCACAAGCAAAAGCAUAAGUCGAUGCAAAGUUAUAAGUCACUAGAAUAGCAUAAGCGGAUGCAUUAGCAUAAUCAAGUAUCAGAGUAAGUACCCGCUAUAAAAGCAGACGCACCGAAGAAUAACAGGUGUGCUCUAUAGAGAUACAAAGGCAGGCAUACAAGAAAAAGUAGAUAUAUACAAAAAAGAGCAUAUAAUCUUGAAAAAUUAAAAUAAGAAAUUAAAUUAUAAAAUAAUAUAAGAUAAAAUGAAUUCGAGUAAUUGAAGCAAAUAAGAAGCUGAUAAAGAUGUAAGAAAAUUAAUAAUUAGAAUAAGAAUAUGAGAAGUUAAUAAGUAAAAAGGGAUAACUCGAUAUUUAAAGUGAAGCGGGUAAUCUCUUCACAGAACAAUUUUAGACAGAGACAAUAAAUAUUAGAUAUUUAUAUAACAUAAAUGAAAAUAUUAGUAGGGCCUAAUCUAGAAUGAAUGAGAGCGAGAUGACCAACGCCACGAGAGGCGUUGGAAUUGGCACCGCUCUCUCUCUCACACGAUCAACGCCGCAGUCGAAAGCAAUUAAUACUUACAUAACACAAGAUUAAAUUACAAAUCUACAAUGAAACAUAAUAUAAAUCCGCCGAAAUCAUUACUUUAUUCUCAGGUACGCAGGUAUAAAUAUAAUGGCCGAGGGUUGGGAUGAUGAUUGGGCCGACGUUCUCUCCGCCGGUCCAUCCUGGGAUUUAAUCCAUACAACGUCACAUCAACAACAUACCACUGUAGCUACAAUUAGUGCUAGACCCAGGGCCAAUCCUGUUACCAUUCUCCAAGCCCUAACAUCAGGACAAAGGAAUAACCAAGAGAACACAGAUCAAAUGAAUCAAAAUCCUUCUAACAUGAGAUUAAGAGGCGACCGGCAGUCCCCACCUCCCGCUCGCGCUGCGGGAAGGAGUCGUCCAUUCCACCGAUGAAAUAUAUAACUUACACUAUAUAACACAAGACUGAAAUUUUAAAAUAUUAAUACUAAUAACAUAUAACCACUCAUUUAUAUAUUCAAUUAUAUUCAAAUAUAUAUCAAUAUUUUAUUGUUAAAUAUUCAAUCAUAUUUAAAUAUAUAUAUCAAAAUAUUUUAUUGUCUAACAAAUAUUGAAUAAAUGUGGAACUCAUUAAUAUAGUAUUAUAAACUGUAAGGUAUAUACGUACAUGUUAAAUUAAUAAUAAAUAUAUAUUUUUCUUUUCUCUUUACUUUGUCUCUUAUCAUUUUACUUCGAACACAUAUCUUCUAAUGGAGUCGGUCGGUUCCCACAUACACGCGCAGCUCACUCAAACUAAUUACUGUAAUAAGAGUCCUAAUAUUUAAGAAAUAAGAGAAGGAAUUGGGAAACUAAUUAUAUAUGCCUCUAAAAUGAAUCAACAAGGCAGUAGAUCAUUUUGGAAAGCGGGGAAUAUUGUGAGGGAAGGAACUGUCGUCGGUAAUAAAAUGACGAUCGGAGAAGGAAACCGACCGGAAAAAGAAGAAGGGAACUGAUGGUCGAAGCAGGAAACAGCGACCGGGAAAAAGAGAGAACAAAUUUUUACAUCGCGCAUCUCCAAAAUAAAAGGGGAGAUCUAUCGUCAAUUGAGGAGAACCUCAUCAUCGUCUUCAUGACAUGACCAUCCUCUUUGUCUUCGCUGUUUUACCGUCUUUUGUCCAGACAAGUUACCGAAGUUUAUCCUUCCUCCGUCAUAUUUUCAUUGUGUGAACCAGAACUUUUAUUUGGACUUUCUUCUACAAGGUAUUUCUUCUCUUAAUUGUCGGAGACUCUAUGUGAAGGACUCUCUUAUCGACUAAAUAAAUGGAAGCUUAAUGUUGUCAAGACUGUAGUUUCUGAUUCACCGAGUAUCGCUUCUUUACUCAUACUCUUAUCCGCAAACGCAUCCUGCAACUGUGGUAAGGCCUGCUGCCUGUCACCGUUCACCCAACGAUCUAGGUCGGGCUCCCCACAAUUUUAUUUCAUCUAUGUAAAUAAUAUAUGUGAAAAAUGUAAACUGCUGUUAUAAUUAUCCAUAUCUUUCGCAUAGGUCUAUAUUGUUUAUAUAUAUAUAACUACCGUAAAAUAAUUUUUAUCUUUCUAAAAAUAAAAUAUUUAAUUUUUAGAGAUUUAUAUAUACAAUAGUAUAAAGCUUAUAUUUUUGCCUAAUUAUGGUAUAUUGUCUAACUGUAAGACGGCAUAACACAACUCUGUGUCACGAAUACUUGAUUAAAUCUGAAUUCAUAAUUUAUUUGUAUAUAUAGUACUGCCUUUAUUAUUUUUAAAUGCAAUUAUAAAAAUAAUGAUCAUAAAAACUAAAUGAU